rnacentral:rRNA from 1 species
GACGAACGCUGGCGGCGUGCCUAAUACAUGCAAGUCGACCUUAGUGGCGAACGGGUGAGUAACAAGUGGGUAACCUGCCCAUCAGAAGGGGAUAACACUUGGAAACAGGUGCUAAUACCGUAUACUGAUUGAUGGACCCGCGGUGCCUUAGCUGGUUGGUGAGGUAACGGCUCAACAAGGCCACGAUGCAUAACCGACCGGAGAGGGUGGUAGGCCCAAUUGGUACUGAGACACGGCCCAAACGCCGACGGGAGGCAGCAGUAGAGAAUCUUCGGCAAUGGACGAAAGUCUGACCGAGCAACGCCGCGUGAGUGAAGAAUGCUUUCGGAUCGUAAAACUCUGUUGUUAGAGAAGCGGUAUCUAACCAGAAAGCCACGGCUAACUACGUGCCAGCAGCCGCGGUAAUAC